CAGCCGCCGCGGUAAUACGUAUGUCACAAGCGUUGUCCGGAUUUAUUGGGCGUAAAGCGCGUCUAGGUGGUUAUGUAAGUCUGAUGUGAAAAUGCAGGGCUCAACUCUGUAUUGCGUUGGAAACUGUGUAACUAGAGUACUGGAGAGGUGAGCGGAACUACAAGUGUAGAGGUGAAAUUCGUAGAUAUUUGUAGGAAUGCCGAUGGGGAAGCCAGCUUACUGGACAGAUACUGACGCUGAAGCGCGAAAGCGUGGGUAGCAGACAGGAUUAGAUACCCCAGUAGUCCCUGUCUCUUAUACA
rnacentral:rRNA from 1 species